rnacentral:lncRNA from 1 species
CAGAAGCAAGGAAAUCCCCAAUCUUCCUGUGAGUCACAAACACUUUCUGCUGUACCUUAGUCCCUGACCACAGCUGCUGCUAUCAGGGGUUUUGUGCUGGAUGAAAAUCAAUCAAGAUGUACGAGCCAACUGAAUAUCCUCCAAACUGUGUCUCCUCUUCAGGCUUCUCAAAUUGCUGGAUCCAUACAGCAACCUGCUGGAGCCCAAAGCACCUGCUUGGUGUGGGAGAGGAAUCUUUCCAGGAAAUAGAUCACUUUUUGGAAACACGAGCAGUUUCUUGAAGACAAGAUGACAUUUACUGGCUUGUUUUUCUCCUGUACGCUGAUGAUCAUGCUAACAGGUAAGAUUACUACUGAAGUUAUCCUUCUUUAUUUUUUCAAGUGGCCAGAAAUAUUUUGUUACAAAUACAGUAUCUUGUUUUUAGUGUUGCUGAUAUAUUAAUCCCAGCUGUUCAGGCUGUGAGUUCUGACUAACAGCCACACUAAGUUGGUUUGUAGCAGUGACUGAUUGCAAACAGGGAAUUCCUCACUCUGCUGUUCAAGAAACAAAAAUCUUUUGGCUACACAGAGGGUCUUUAAUGCUAUGUGGGCGUUAAAGAACUUGUGAGUUUCUAGUUAUACAUGGAAAAUGUUUGGUUAACAGAAAGUCUUUCUGUGCAGGAGCUGGUACUGAUGUGUUUCCUCUUUAUUUACAGAUGCCCGAUCCAUCCAGGAUGGAGAUGGUAAUUCCUAAUGUGUUUUUAUUUCCUUUAUGUCACUAAUAAUUAGGAGACUAAUUUGUAACUCCCAGAUUUGAUGCCCAGCAGUGACUUUGGCAGGAAUGCUUAUUAACCUUAGUGGACUAUGGAAAAGCUUUCAAUUAGUUCUGGUGGAAAAAAAAUAGUGAAUUAAAAAAAAUUCUUUAUAAUUUAUUAAAAGGUGAUGACAUAUUAACGUAUAAUAAUAGAGCUAAUUUCCAGUCUUAAAAUGAAAAGGGAUUACAGUCAAGUCACUAAUUCUGUUGUACAAAAUCCUAACUGGAAAGCACCAGUCUUAUAAAUGUGUAGGACAUCUGAGAAUUUUGUCUGUCCUGAACAAUAAUUCUGUAUGUGUAUUUUCUUUUAGGCAACAGAUACUGACUUUCAUGACAAAAAGCUUAAAAUUUACAAAUUGCCAUGAAUCCAAUUAGAGAAAUGUUGGAAUAAACCCCUUAGCACAGCUACCCUGUGGUUCUCA